UUCUGUGGUUCUAGUACGGUUUAUUAGUGAUUAUUACUUGGCUUAAAUAAUUAUGGAUAUUUUAUGUUCUAGAGAAAUUUAUGCACUUUUGCCUUAAACCGCUUUUGUGACGACCCAAGGGGUCAUCACCGUAAUUCUCCCUUUACUUGCACUUUCACCUCAAACCACUUAUAAUUGCUUAACUAUUUGCAUUUAUGGAACUAUCUUGAAACGAACCAUGCCUACACGUAUUCAUUUUUCUUGGUAUGUCAGAAAUCAUGUCACACGUACGUGUACAUAAUUAAUAACACUUUAUUAUUUUUAAGAUUAUUUUAUCAAAAUUGCGCAAACGCAUACUUUGCCUUUAAUUUUGAAAAUCAUAACUAUGUCACGCAAACAUGUACAUAAUCAUGAUAACUUAUUGGUUAACACUCGCCUAAAGCAUACUAGCUUAUUAGAAGUAUUUUAUUUAUUUAUAUUUAAUAAAAGUACUUCAAAUCUCAAUUUUGCUAAUAAAAAUAUACUAAACUUAAUUAUUGACCUAAGUAAUAUAUUUCAUCUAAUACAAUUUAAAACUAUAACUUUAUAAUUCAAUCCCCAAAGUAGCGUAUUAAAUUAAGUAAUUUUCCAAAUGAUAAAAUAAUGUAAUGAAAAUUAAGGCAGGAUGAGAACUCUCUUUGUGUUCACUGAAAUUUCCAAGCAUUUGAAGUUUACAACAUUAAUUGCCAUUAUAUUCUACUAGAAAAAAAAUGACUAAGUAUGUCCGUUAGGGUCCCUCGUCCAACCAAUAAUGGAUUAACAUGGAAAUGGAUUUUAUGAAAAUAUUAUUGGAUACUAGUUAGAAUCUAGAAAUAAAAAUAUAACAAUUUUCAGUAUUAUGAUUGACACUAAGGCGAGGAAAUUUAAAUAACAUAGAUAUGCAAUUCUGUCGGUAACUAAACACCCGAAACUGUAAGUAUUUCCUUUCAUAAAUUAUUGUAUUAUCUUUUAUCAACUUUUAACUCAAAUUACUAACAUUUAUGGGAAUGAGAAAUAAUUUUUUUUUUUAAAAAGAGUAGAAGAAAACCUGGGAAUGCAAAUCUUCUUCAAUAUAUGAUACAAAGAACCUCCAGAACAAGUUUACAAUAAUGAAAAUCCAAACUAAAUACAACAACAAUUAGAUUAAGAAAUCGAAAUAAGAACCGAACCCCUCGUGUGAAAUCGGAAUCUUAAUGGCGACCCCAAUAGUGACUCAUAUUUUAGCCUCUCAAUAUUUUCUCUCUUCACUAGUUUUUCAAUCUUUUCUUUUCUAUUCCUCUCCAUUCCCCAUUGUUUUAUGUGAUAAAAAUGAUCUUUUAUAACAAAGUUGGUUGGAUGGUUGGUCUAAUCAUGUACGUGAGAAUAGGAUAUGAAGAUUAUAGUUAGUGGUUUAGGGAUAAGGAGGAGUGGAGGGGAUCAUGGGGUCAGUUGUGAAUUGUACGUGGAUGGUUGGCAUGAUCAUGGGAAAAUGGUUUUUUU
rnacentral:lncRNA from 1 species